rnacentral:rRNA from 1 species
UACAGAGGUCUCAAGCGUUGUUCGGAUUCAUUGGGCGUAAAGGGUGCGUAGGUGGCGGGGUAAGUCAGGUGAAAUCUCGGGGCUCAACCCCGAAACUGCAUUUGAUACUGCCUUGCUCGAGUACUGGAGAGGAGAUUGGAAUUUACGGUGUAGCAGUGAAAUGCGUAGAUAUCGUAAGGAAGACCAGUGGCGAAGGCGAAUCUCUGGACAGUUACUGACACUGAGGCACGAAGGCCAGGGGAGCAAACGGG